UUCUAUUUACAGCUUUCGUGUGUUUGCUUCUGUCGCUAAUAACAAGCUUUUGGAUAACUCAGAUAUCGAUUUAGGAAUAGAUCUAACAUACAACCAAAAGGCGUUCCGAAUUUCAAACUGAGAUGUUCCCAAUAUGAAUCAGUCACCUUUGAGGUUCCCGAAGGGGUAGACUGUUAUAUUAUAUAUUGCUAUUGAUUGAUUGAGAUUUUAAUGUCUGACAAACGACUAUAUUGGUAAAAUUUCUUUAUAACCAAUAUAAAUUUUGCAAUAAAAAGCUCAGGUAGAAAAGCUCAAUAACGCCUCUUUUAUUUUAUCAUCUAUUCACGCAGUGACAAAAGAAAACGUCACCUAGCAAAAGGGCAAACUUGAUUUGACAUGUCGGGUUUGUGCUUGCCGCCGGCACACUACAUUCACGCAUAUGCGCAAUUUGGCGGACGCAAAUAACAUUUUGUAUGGCUUUGCAUUUCUCUGCAGUCCGGCAAAACUUCUAAUCGAACGGCAGGUGCCGAACAUGCGGGACUUAGGGGACAUACGUAAUCAGUAGGUAGGUGCCGCCUUCCCGGCGGUAACCGGCACGCCUGAAUCAAGUUCGUCCAAAGAAAAAAGUUUACGACAUUUAUGGAAAUUGCUUUAUUUUUUUAAUUUACAUACCAUUUUCAGCCGUAACAUUAUAAUUUCAAAGGGUGAUAUGUUAUAAAUAAAUGCGCGAUCAUUCAAACAAAUAUUUCAUCCACGUUCAUAUACCGCAUGACAACGUUUACAACUUUGGAACACUUUACGACAUAACACUUUACGGCAGAAAAUGGAAAACCGGAAGAAUACAGGGUAAUGUAAGAAUACACAAAAAAUGGAAGGAGGGACAGCUGCUGAAAUACACUAUGAACUAUCUUAUCCUGGCACUUUGGCAUGUUUGAAUGUGGAAGGCCUUGAAAUUGGGAUGAAGAAGGCCAGGGAAUGUCACAGAGAUAAAAAAAAAAAUGAAAUUAUUUGCAGUGUUUGUGUUUUAUGGUCAUAAAACAUGGAACAUUUUCUUGAAGUUAAUCAACCACAUGCUUUCCUAUUAUAUCCUAGUAGGUUGGCAUGGUUACCUAAACAGCGUGUAUGCAUACCUGGUCAUUGUUAGACCAUUUUGAU